CCUCCAACCACACCUCAGUGACCACCACCACCACUUGGGUGUCCAUCAGCCAGGCUUCAGUGGCUGCCAACGCCUCCAUGAACCAUACAGAACAAACCCCGGUAAGGAGAGGGAAGGGGGAUGCUGGCCAUGCAGAAGCUCUGCUGCGCUGUGACCCCCUGGCGUGUCCUCCCCCCAGCUCAGCUGUCAGAGCUUCCAGUGCUCCGGGGAGAGGUGUUACCAGGAUGAGGCCCACAGCAACAUGACGACCACCUGCUACAAUGAGACCUUCUGCGAGGUAUGGAGCUUAGAGCGGCUGCUGGAGGCUGUGAGCACAACACCUGAUUUUCCUUUGCCACUGUCCCACUCUGUCCAUUAUUUUUGCUCCUCUGUAAUGGCCUCUCUUCGCACUUCUAGUGGGUUUUUUUUUUUUCCUUUGGCUCUGCUGUUGCAGCUUUAUCGUUUCUCCAGCAUGAACUACACCGCCAGAUGCAGCAGUGUGUGCAGUGCAGAGCUGUGCAGGACCAAUGGCAGCGUGACCCUACAGCAGUGCACCAUGGAGUGCUGCAACACCUCCCUCUGCCUGCAGCUCAAUGCAAGCUCCUAUGGUAACUGCUCCAUGGUUUAUCCCGCUGCAUGCAACAGAAGUGGGUGUGCGGAUCCAUCAUGCUGGGCUGCAUCGCUGUGGUUCCUCUGCCCCAGCGUGUGGACAUGAAGGCUGCACAUGGGCUGUGUCCUCAGGGCUCCUCUGUGCCCACAGGUGAUCUUCCCCCCACCACCGUGCUGCCCACGACCACCAUCACCACCACCACCACCCCACGCCCCCCCCCACGAAAUGGGAAAAUCUGUGCAGCAUUCUCCUGCCAUGGGGAUGGAUGUUUCAAAGGCAAGAAGAGCACAGCUAGAUGCUUUGUUGGGCAUGAUUUCUGCGAGAUGAAGAAGACGGGCUUCAAUUAUGUGGCAGGAUGCAGCAAAGCCUGCAAGGCUGCCAAGCCUGUCUGUGCCCGGGGGGUGAAGGCUGCCUGUUUCCAGGAGUGCUGCCCCGCCACCCCCAAGGGCAGCUGCUUAAAGCUGGAUGGCAAAGUUCAUGUGAAUGGUGCUGGGCAGGUGGCUGUGUCCCCGCUGCUGCAGCUCCUGGCAUGUGGGGCAGCCCUCCUCUUGAGCCGAAGGGCCUCCACUCCCCUCCAUGGGUGAUCCCCGCUACACAUCGAGCCUCUGUGCUGCAGGGAUGGCAGAUGCUGGAAGGAGAGACCUCAGGUGUAGGAGUGAGAGGAUGCUGAGCCAGCUUGGAACCCAGGAACCUCUGCCUUGACCCAAGGCACAGCUUACACAGUGUAGUUACAACGUGUUUGCACCGCAACUGUCUGAACACCCACUUAGUUUCUAAAUGAUACGUCCUGUCCCAGUAGGCUGUACUGUUUUGUCUCCAGGUCUUAGACAGGGCAAUGGGGCUGAGCUAAAAGCAUCGUGUUAGACCGUCCUGUUUCGUAUCUAUGAUUCUCUAUGGGUAAAUGUAGAGCAGAGACACGAGCGUGAGUCUGUAACAGGAGCUGGCUCCCAGCCAGACAGCUGGCAAUGGCUCUGUGGUGCCACUGUGCAAACACAUUCUGUCCUCUUCCUGCUCUCUUUUAAGAAAAUAAAAUAUAAUGACAAUAAUAGAGAAGCUUCAGUCCCUUGGGUUGAUGUCAGGCUGCUUUGGGCACAGCUCAGCUCCAGGGAUGUGGUGGGAAGGGGAUCCCAGCUGUAGGGCUGUGCUGGGACAGCAGCAGGAUGGCUUUGCUGGGAGCUCCGCACAGUGGAUGUGGGGCUGAGGGCAGGCAGUGUGCAGCCAUCAUUGGCCCUUCCACGCUGCAGUGCUGCUGCACCAAAGCCAUGGCACGGGCUGGGGGGUGCUGUCCCAUCAGUCUAUCGGCAGAAAAUGACAACGGGAUGGAACUCAAAGAUGUUUCUGUUUCAG
ensembl:lncRNA